rnacentral:rRNA from 1 species
UACGGAGGGUGCAACCGUUGCUCGGAAUCAUUGGGCGUAAAGCGCACGCAGGUGGCUGAGUCAGUCGAUUGUGAAAGCCCUGGGCUUAACCUGGGAAUUGCAGUCGAUACUACUCAGCUAGAGUAUGGGAGAGGGCAGUGGAAUUCCCGGUGUAGCGGUGAAAUGCGUAGAUAUCGGGAGGAACAUCAGUGGCGAAGGCGGCUGCCUGGCCCAAUACUGACACUCAGGUGCGACAGCGUGGGGAGCAAACAGG